AAAAAGACAAACCCUGAUUUCCGUGUCCAACGUUUGACUGUCCGUCUUAUUUUAAAAAAUAUAAAAAAAAUUAAAAAGACAAGCCACGCAUAAAAUAUUAAUCAUGUUUUAUCAUCUAAUAACAAUAAAAAUACGAAUUAUAAAAAAAUUUUAUAUAAGACGAACAGUCAAAGUUAGACACGAAAAUCUAGGGUUUGCAUUUUUU
rnacentral:pre_miRNA from 1 species